ensembl:lncRNA
CUCAAAGAAAGGAAUGCCAAAAAAGCAGCAAACUGACGGUGCUGCUGGGUGCCACUCUGGGCAGGAUCGCAUCUGUCCCGUGGGCAGGACGUCUCACUGCAUUGUGCCUUUCUCCCGGCUGCCACCUGGGUGACACUGCUUGGUUUUCAGAGCUCCACCUCCUACCAACAGCAGUGCGGUCAGUGGAGAGGAAAGAUGCUGAAAAUGAUCCCUGCGUUAUCCGGGUGCCAAAUCAAUGCAUCUCAUCCUGCCCUGCACUGAGAGCAGAGCAUUGCUGAGAGCAGGAUGGAGGAAGGUGAGGGAAGUCCUACAGGUGGGGAAGGAACACCAACAGGUCUGAAGGACCGCAGUGCCCCUGCAGCUCCCCAGGUCUCCACCUGCGACUGCCCCGUGCAAUGGGAAAUAUAACUACAUUCUGAGAACAACAGCCCCUUAGGAAGAAAAAACAAUAAGGGAAGAAAGCACGCCUUUGAAAAACAACAGCAAAGAAAAAAACCCUUCAACUAUAAAAUAAACUAAGCUUUAUUUUGCCAAAUUCUGAGCCGUCAUUUGCUGCCAGCAGUCCCACCUCUUCCAUCCAGGAGCUGGUGACGUUGAUCGAGCUGCAGAUCAGAAGCUGUUCCCUGGAUGAGGUGGGCCGCCUGCUGCCCUCACCAUGCUCUUCCCACCCCACUGCUGCCCGCCCUGAGGUCUGCUCCAGCGCAGGGAGGUCUGGCACUCUUGAACCUGAGGUCAAAAACAAGAGGGAGGAAAAGAAUGGCCUUCAGGCCAGAGGAAGAAACCAGGGCAACCAGGCUCUUAACGUGAUAAAAGGGCUUUAUCUCAAAGCACUUAAACAAAACACACAAGCCUGAGAGAAGAGGCUCUGUCAAGUAUCCGCCCGGGACAUGGGGAAAUUGCAAAUCCCUGCAGGACAGAGGGGCUCUUUCUUCAGUGUGCAGAGCCUGGAGAUGGGGCUGGGCAGGUGAGGGGUGCUGGGGAAGGGGUGCAUGGGGGAUUUCCCGUUUGCAGUGGUGCAUGGGUACGGAUCAGACUGUGAGCAGCUGUUAGAGAGCAGAUCACGGGCACGGGGAGUGGGCAGCAGUGCUGGAGAGGGGCAGGAGAGAAUGGGAGAUGGGACAUGCAGCAGCAGGUGGGCACAGUCCCACCCCCUGUGUGUGGGGAGUCAGUGUAAAUCAGUGCCACCUCUGCACUUGGUGGGUGGAUGGGUGCAGUUUGCAGGAGUUGGAUGGGUGUAGUUUACAGGAGUUGGAGGGGAGGCUUGGUUCUUGCUGGCCCCUUACAGAACGCUGCAGGGAGGAUUGUGCCAUGGAGAGGUCUCUGGGUUGUUCCCAGGUGCAUGGGCAGGGAGCUGCACACACCAUCCCGGGUCUCUGGGCUGCAGGUCCCAGCCCAUCCCCAGCCAAUCUGCUUUCCCAAGGGGCUGAGGCAGCUGUGCUUGUGGUACCUGCUCCAAAGGGACGGGCUGUUCGCUCUGGCUCAUCUUGUCCCUCAUCCCUUUGGGGCUCAGCCCCGUCCCUCCCCAUUUCUCUGUGACACACGAUGCUUCGUGCCAGCAAUCCCUGCCUAUGAGGAGAAGCCCUGCCCUGCCUGGGCGCUGCUCUCCCUCUGGCUCCUUGUUCUUCAGCCUUUGUUUGGUACACGUCCUCGUCCCCUAUGGAUGCCCAUAGUGUCCUUUCCCUUCCAUGGCUCAGUGAGGACCACGAGGAGCUCCCAGCCAUGAAUUUCCCCCACACACCACUGCCAGGCUGUUAUUGCUGUGCGCUCCCUCCUGACUCCAUCUGUCUGCAUGGUGCUACUGCUCCGUGCCAGGAGGGCUCCGGGACCGCUGGGGUCACGGCUGCCCCAUUACGGGGCGAGAUUUAUCAUUGGCAGGUGUGCUGCGGGAUGGUAUAUUAUCCAGGAUUAUGAACUGUAACAGGAUAAUCUCUCUAAUGUAAUUCAAGCUCUCGACAUGGCUUAUGGCUCCUUAAUGUACCUCAGACUGAAGAAUUACAAGAACAUUUUCCCCCCUCCCUACCUUGUCAGCUCCUAAAUGAUUUAGGCAAUCGCCUGAAGCCAGAUCUUGGCCUCCAGUCAUAACUCAGAGCAGUUCAGUAAAUAUGAUGGGGAAGGAGUUUUCCUGCCUUGGCUCUUUCUUCCUUCCGCUGCGCUCAGCCCUCGCGGUGCUGCUGCUCUGCUCCCUGUGGAGCAUUCAGGAUGGACCCAAAGUUGGGCUGGUGGGCGCAGGGAUGCUCUGCAGGGGGAUCAUGCCUUGGUUUCAGAUCAUGGGGUUGUGCCCAUUUCAGCAUCACCUCUCUUUUUGAGUAAUGCAGCAAUUAGUGGUUUGGUAACACAUCAACCAAUGUGUGUCCAGCUUUGCUUUGUACCCCCGCUGAGCCAAGAGGAACAUUGCCCAUCUUCAUCUAAUUGGCUUUUAAUUCUGGUCAUUGCUUUGACCUUAAAGAUGUGGUUUGUGGGGCCGAUUUUGGAGCAGGUACAUCCCCACAUGGGCACCAAAAAGGUGAGCAGUGAUGGCCACCACCCCAGGGUCCCACAGCGACCAACUGGCCUCAGUCCAGCCCCCAUGAGCCCAGUGACAAAUAAACCUCGUAAAAGGAGAGGAAAAAGAGGGAGAAAAGCAGAGAUUAAGAACAGGAACUGCAGGGAUAUGGCUUCCACUCGGCGACUGACUUAAAAUAAACAUCAGAUAUGCAGAGCAGGGCUGGGAGCCUGCCAUGGCAUGGGGG